rnacentral:rRNA from 1 species
GUGCAGCAGGCGAGAAUACUUUACAAUGUGCGAAAGCACGAUAAGGGAACUCUGAGUGCCUCCUAAGGAGGCUGUUCAGGUGUCUAAAAGCACCUGAAGGAAGGGCUGGGUAAGACCGGUGCCAGCCGCCGCGGUAACACCGGCAGCCCAAGUGGUAGCCACGUUUAUUGGGUCUAAAGCGUCCGUAGCCGGCUGGGUAAGUUCCUUGGGAAAUUUGGCUGCUUAACAGUCAAGCUUUCAGGGAAUACUGCCCGGCUUGGGGACCGGGAGAGGUCAGAGGUACUCCAGGGGUAGGGGUGAAAUCCAUUAAAUCCUUGGGGGACCACCGGUAGCGAAGGCGUCUGACCAGACCGGGUCCGACGGUGAGGGACGAAGGCUAGGGGCGCGAACCGGAUUAGAUACCCGUGUAGU